rnacentral:rRNA from 1 species
AUUGAACGCUGGCGGCAGGCCUAACACAUGCAAGUCGAGCGAGCGGCGGACGGGUGAGUAAUGUAUGGGGACUGCCCGAUAGAGGGGGAUAUCUACUGGAAACGGUGGCUAAUACCGCAUACUGACGGAUAACCCAUAUGGGAUUAGUUAGUAGGUAAGGUAAUGGCUUACCUAGGCGACGAUCCCUAGCUGGUCUGAGCGGAUGAUGAGCCACACUGGUACUGAGACACGGCCCAGACUCCUACGGUGUCGGCAGUGGGGAAUAUUGCACAAUGGGCGCAAGCCUGAUGCAGCCAUGCCGCGUGUAUGAAGAAGGCCCUAGGGUUGUAAAGUACUUUCAGUCGGGAGGCGUUACCGACAGAAGAAGCACCGGCUAACUCCGUGCCAGCAGCCGCGGUAAUUC